UACGUAGGUGGCAAGCGUUGUCCGGAUUUACUGGGCUUAAAGAGCGCGCAGGCGGUCGUUCAAGUCGCGUGUGAAAGCCCCCGGCUCAACUGGGGAGGGUCACGCGAUACUGAUCGACUCGAAGGCAGGAGAGGGUAGUGGAAUUCCCGGUGUAGUGGUGAAAUGCGUAGAUAUCGGGAGGAACACCAGUGGCGAAGGCGACUACCUGGCCUGUUCUUGACGCUGAGGCGCGAAAGCUAGGGGAGCAAACGGG
rnacentral:rRNA from 1 species